UUUUUUUUUUAUUGAAUAAAAGUGUAUUUACAAUCUAUACAUACAGUGUAUAAUAAGUAAGUGUGGCGACUUAAAGAAUAUUGUUAUUCUUACAAUUAACAAUAAUAACAAUUAAAAGAGAAGGAAGGCUGAGUGCCACCUGACAAGAAAUUACGGUUUGAACUUUAUUUUAAUUCAUUUUAUCAUAAUUAUUUUUUUUUUUUUGUUUUUGUUUUAUUUUUUUUUUUUUAUUGGGUAUUGAGCAGAUCUCUUGGCCAUUGUCUUUUUAACCUUCUAGGAAUAAUAGAGGCAGAGGAUACACUUUUAAUUAUGGGGUUUGAAUGAGCGCGGAGGGUUGAGUGGAAUUUUGAGUAAUAGGAUUUGGCUAAGUCGUGGAGGGUUGGUAUGUUCAGAUCUUUGUGGAGAUUUUUAUUGGUAACAUACCAAGGGGCAGAGGUUAUUAGGCGUAGACAUAUGGAUUAGAUUAUUAGAAUGCUUGGAGAGUUUUAGUAUUUGAUGAUUUUGCUGGCCCCCAAAGUUGGAUGCCGUAGAGCCAAGCCGGACGGAUUAUCGAUUUAUAUAUCGUGCGAGUUCCAGUUGAGGCGUUUGUCAAAUAUUAACCCUAG